GAUGAACGCUGGCGGCGUGCCUAAUACAUGCAAGUCGAGCGAACAGACGAGGAGCUUGCUCCUCUGACGUUAGCGGCGGACGGGUGAGUAACACGUGGAUAACCUACCUAUAAGACUGGGAUAACUUCGGGACACCGGAGCUAAUACCGGAUAAUAUAUUGAACCGCAUGGUUCAAUAGUGAAAGACGGUUUUGCUGUCACUUAUAGAUGGAUCCGCGCCGCAUUAGCUAGUUGGUAAGGUAACGGCUUACCAAGGCAACGAUGCGUAGCCGACCGGAGAGGGUGAGCGGCCACACGGGAGCUGAGACACGGUCCAGACUCCUACGGGAGGCAGCAGUAGGGAAUCUUCCGCAAGGGGCGAAAGCUUGACGGAGCAACGCCGCGUGAGUGAUGAAGGUCUUCGGAUCGUAAAACGCUGUUAUUAGGGAAGAACAAAUGUGUAAGUAACGAUGCACGUCUUGACGGUACCGAAUCAGAAAGCCACGGCUAACUACGU
rnacentral:rRNA from 1 species